rnacentral:lncRNA from 1 species
CGGAAGGAGAAGAGAGAGACAAAGGGGCAGAAAAUUUAUGUGAAGAAAUAAUAGAUGAAAAUUUUCCUAAUCUGAGGCAGGAAACAGACAUCCAAGUUCAGGAAGCACAGAGAGCUCCAAACAAGAAAAUGGUAUUUACAAAAGCAUUUCAAUUUGAAGUGUCAAUCAAAGUAUAUGCAGGCAAAACUGUAAGGAAAAAGUAUUAUAGAGAUGUGAAAACAGGAGCAAAGAAAAUUGGAGCAACACGCCUGAAGCUACACAGUUGCAGAGGCAGGAUUUCAACAAAUAUCAAAACUAUGAAAAGACUCCUGUAACUUUCAUCACUCCAAACCUCUGACGACCCAGCCUAACACCCCAUCAUCACCACCACCACCUCUCAGCCUUCCCGCAUGCCUGCUGUCUUCCCGACUCUGGAAGGUGGAGAAGCAUGCAUAUUAUUCCACUGAAAAUACCCUCUGGACCUACGAGAAAGGACUAACCUAAAGUCAAGCACAGAGAAGAGAUAGAUAUCAUCAAAUUAAAAAGUACAAUACAAUUGUGUGCUCUUUUUCCCCAAUAAAAAAUAAAGAAGUGGGGGCUACAACCUCAAAGUGAACAAACAGAGAGAAAGCAGAGAUCCUAAUAUCUGAUGACUUUGAAAGAUCUUUGAAGAGGAACCCAUCUCAGAAUUCAAGAGAGAUCUGAUUUUAAUUCCCAGCUCUACCAUCAAAAAGUCCAGUCUGCUCCCCAGUGUCUCUAAGUGUAGAGAGAGAAAUUCUUACCUUGGCUAUCAGCUAUCACCAAACUUACUAUAGUGAAGAAAUGAAGUUACAAUUAUGACAGGAAUAUCACAAUGCCAUGAGGAUGCAGGAUUUUAUGAUCUAUUCCAAGAAAUAAGAUGAUAAGGAAAGUUUGUAUGCAGUAGAAAGAAUAUGGGAUUUGGAGUCAAAGUUAUGUCCAAAUUCUGAGUUGACCCCUAAUGAACUGUGUUACCUUAUAAGUCAUUUAACACCUCAGCCUUAUUUUUCACAAUCUUACAAUAUCUACUUCAUGGAAUUAUUAUGAAAUAUCAGAUAAUACAUGUAAAGGGUCUACAAUUGUGUAAGGCCCAGAGUGGGUACUCAAUGAAGAUUAGGUAUUAUUGAAAAGUGUUAAAUAAAACAUAUGAGGCGAAGAAGGCAGAAUGCAGAACUAAUAUUAUGAUCUAGUUUGUGAGAACUUCAUCCUCCUAGCACCAUGAAUAGAUUACUUACCGUGGAGAGGAACAUAAACUUCAGGAU